GCUCCUGAUGUAUGCAGAUAACAGAACUACUAUAUUCUUAAAUUAUAAUUCAAUAGAUUUUCAAUUCUAAUAGUCGUUGCUUAAAGCAGUUGAGAAUUAUAUGAAAAUUAACUCAUCCAUGACAAACUACUGAUUUAAGCAGCCAAAGUCUCAUCGCUUGCAGGCUUUGCAAUAUAUAAACAAGUCGGGAGUUCCCGACUAGGUGAUACCCUGGACCCUCUUCCACCAACUGAACCCACUCACAACCGACCGAAAACAUUUGUAAAAGUAAGCGAAUUUGUUGCAACUAUUUACAGCUCAGCUCAGCCAGCAAAUAUGUAUUUUGCGCCUUAAUUUCUUUUCGACUGACUUACAGAAUAAUUUCGUCCGGUUAUGCAGUUUGCCGACUGGAUUUACCUGGGCAGCUUAACCCAAGAAAGCACCAAAUUCUGUUGCAGCUUCCAAAGCAAUUACUUUGAUAUGCGAAUUUAAAAUGUAGAAAUUUGUGAUAUUAAUUAAAGCUGCACUUUCUUUGAUAUUUAUAUUAAAUCUA